ACUAUAUAUUAUUUAAUUAAAAAAAUAUAAAUUUAGUGAAUUAAAUAAUAAUUUAUAUGAAAUUGUAUAUUUUUUUAUUUUUUAAAAUAUAUAUAACUUUUAAUAAUAUGAUUUAAUUAUUUCUUAAACAAUCAUGGGAAACACUACAAUUUAUUAAAGGAUAAAAAGAAAAUACUUACCUUUGCUUUGUGUGCGAAUCGUAAUCUUGAUUAAUCUUUCCAGUUCAAUUUAUAUUUAUAAUGAGACUGCAUCGUGGUACCAGCAACUUUGCCUUUUGGAACCAAGAAAGAAUAUGAAUGUGCUACCUUAAAAUAGGACUUAGCUGCUGUCUAGACAGGUUUUUGAUAUUUUCUUUGAUUGUAUGUACUGAAUGUUUAAAGUUUUCAAUUAUUUUCUCAAACCCGUGGUUGAUGCUUGAUCUUUUGGAUGAUCUUAGAAGCAUAAACCCGUGGUUGUUUUUGUGUUGUUAAAAGCUUGUUUUUUUGUCUUUAGAAGCAGAUUUUGCUAAAUAAAUAUAACAAAUGCAUUUGAAAUUAGCACUUAGACUACGGUCAUCGCAAUUUAUAAUCAUGUAUUCUAUAGAUCAUAAACUUUCAUAAUUUCAGUGAACGAUGUAUGGCAGUUCCUGAGUGUAGAUAAUGUCAAAUUAAAUUGAAUAAGUAAAAAAUAACAUUGUAAUCAAUGUAUCAAUUGAGACAUGAAAUAAAAUGAAUUUUGCCAUGUAACCAAAAAAAUUAUUGAAUGAUGUAACAUAUCAACCAUGUACCACUGGUUGAUGCGAAUAUGAUCCUCUCUUUUUCUUUGUUCGUUGGUUUCCUUUUUGCAUUGUGUAGUUAUAGUGGCUGAGUAGUCCUUGCAGCAAGCAACAAGACCAUUUACUUUGUGUACCUCUCAUUCUACUAAUCAAUGACAAUAAAGGCUAAAUGAUCUGUUGAGGCUGUACUAAGCAAAUUUGCUGCGUUAAUGCUUUUCUGAACAUUUCUUUUUCAGAUUUGAAGAUACAUGCAUAAUUCAAAAAUAUAUUGAUUGAUGAUUGUGUGGAAUUCAAAUUUACUUUUAAAGAUUAUUUUAACAGUAAUUAAUGGUUCUGUUACACUUAUUUUCUAAGUAAUAUAUUUGAUAAAUAUUAAUUUGUUGCCCUUUUGUUGUUAGGCUGAGAGCUGCAGGAAUUAGUUGACAAACUCUGGGAGGUUUGAUUCUUCAUUUUGUAAGCAUGCUUUUACGAGAACUCUGGGAAGGCAUAAGAGCUGCAGGAAUUAGUUAACAAACUCUGGGAGGAGUUUUGAUUCUUCAUUUUGUAAUUAUGCUUCAAAAGAACUUUGGGAAGGGUUGAUUUUUGUAGUUAGCUCCACUUUCAUAUGUGGUUUCUUCUAGUUCUUUACUAUGGUAUGGUAUGCAGUCAAUUAUCAUUGAGCUGUUAAACCCUGUAUGUCAAUUAAUACUCAUUUUCAGACCUUUCAACUUGGGGAACUUUUGCUAUAUAUGUAUAGUUUUACUAUUAA